rnacentral:lncRNA from 1 species
UAUCAAAAGUUAUCUUAUAUAGGACACCAAAAUUUAAAUAACACGUCAAACAAUUCAACAUACAAAUUUUAGUUUGUAUAAAAUUAAUUUUAAUGGAAAAGUUUGCCGAAACAAGCAUAGGAUUGUAGGAUUGGGCAAGAUACCCAAACCCGGAAAACCAAACCGAAUCCAACCAAAAUUUUAUACUAAACACAAACCGAAACUAGUAAAAUAUCCGAAAAAUCUAAAAUGUUGGUUCCUGAAGAACUGAAUCCAA